AACGAACGCUGGCGGCAUGCCUAACACAUGCAAGUCGAACGAUGGCUUCGGCCAUAGUGGCGCACGGGUGAGUAACGCGUGGGAACCUGCCUUUUGGUUUGGGAUAACUCCGGGAAACUGGAGCUAAUACCGGAUGAGCCCGAGCAAUCGGAGAAAGAUUUAUCGCCAAAAGGAGUGUCCGCUUCCUAUGGGGUGGUUGGUGGGGUAACGGCCUACCAAGCCAACGAUCGGUAGCUGGGCUGAGAGGAUGAUCAGCGACACUGGGACUGAGACACGGCCCAGACUCCUACGGGAGGCAGCAGUGGGGAAUAUUGGACAAUGGGCGCAAGCCUGAUCCAGCAAGGCCGCGUGGAUGAUGAAGGCCUUAGGGUUGUAAAGUAAGGGCGGAGGGGACGAUGAUGACGGUACCCGCAGAAGAAGCCCCGGCUAACUUCGUGCCAGCCGCCGCAGUAACAC
rnacentral:rRNA from 1 species